rnacentral:sRNA from 1 species
UCUCUUACCCACAGGAACCACUGUGUCUCUUGAAACAACAAAUAGUCUCUUGGAUUUAUUGUGUUACUAUGGUGACCAGGAGCCCUCAACUGAUUAUCAUUUUCAACAAACUGGACAGUCAGAAGCAUUGGAAGAGGAAAAUGAUGAGACAUCUAGGAGGAAAGCUGGUCAUCAGUUUGGAGUUACAUGGCGAGCAAAAAACAACGCUGAGAGAAUCUUUUCUCUAAUGCCAGAGAAAAAUGAACAUUCCUAUUGCACAAUGAUCCGAGGAAUGGUGAAGCACCGAGCUUAUGAGCAGGCAUUAAACUUGUACACUGAGUUACUAAACAACAGACUCCAUGCUGAUGUAUACACAUUUAAUGCAUUGAUUGAAGCAACAGUAUGCGCGAUAAAUGAGAAAUUUGAGGAAAAAUGGAGUAAAAUACUGGAGCUGCUAAGACACAUGGUUGCACAGAAGGUGAAACCAAAUCUGCAGACUUUUAAUACCAUUCUGAAAUGUCUCCGAAGAUUUCAUGUGUUUGCAAGAUCGCCAGCCUUACAGGUUUUACGUGAAAUGAAAGCCAUUGGAAUAGGUGAGGAUGCGCCCUUGAGUUCUCUGAGGACAGAGACUGUGCCAGCCAGAGGUUUCAGGGCUACAUAAGCAAAGAGCUUUAAAUUAUUCUUGUGCUUACAUAAUAUGUUGGAAAUUUUCUUUCCACGUUUGGCACAUUUACUUACAUGUACUUAUUAUAGUGGGAGUGCCUUUAUCAUCUUAGUGUUCAUUAGUAUUUUAGGUACUUUGUUUAUGGAUCUGUUGAAUCUAAGGAGAAGUGAUUGCUUUGAGUUAGCUAGUUUUAAAUUCAUGACAUUUUCCCAACAUAAUUAGGUAUUUGAACCUAAGUGUGUGCUAGUGUAUUGUAUAUUUUUCAUUAAUUACUUUAUUGAAAGU